UGAGUAACCUGCCCUUAACUCUGGGAUAAGCCUGGGAAACUGGGUCUAAUACCGGAUAUGACUCCUCAUCGCAUGGUGGGGGGUGGAAAGCUUUCGUGGUUUUGGAUGGACUCGCGGCCUAUCAGCUUGUUGGUGAGGUAAUGGCUCACCAAGGCGACGACGGGUAGCCGGCCUGAGAGGGUGACCGGCCACACUGGGAUUGAGACACGGCCCAGACUCCUACGGGAGGCAG
rnacentral:rRNA from 1 species